CACUUUGAUGGAAUCAUUAUUCAAUUUUACCGGUCUUUUUAUGAGAUCACCUGAAAAAAUGCAUUAGACAUUUUAACACAAAAUGAGAAAGUGUGUGCUCGAAAGACGAAGUUUGCUGUCCGCAACUAUCAAUAAUUCAACAUACGGACCCGAAGCAGCCCGACGAUUCCAGUUAUAGUAAUGAGGACGAUGCUGAUAUAAUUUAGUGUCCCAACAUCAAAAGAAUUGUACGAAAUUUUUGUACAAUUAUUUUUAUUGUUUUUAAAUGAUUCUAGAUUAUACUUGUUUACACUGCAAAAAAACAUAAGUAAUAUAAACUGUUUCUAAACA